GGUCCUUCCUGUCACCUUUCUUUUUCCCAUCAUUCCUGGUUUGACCGUAUCCGGAGAAGGCAGCAGGAGUGCCCGUGGACUCUUGCAGCUGGAAUUCCCACUGGAGAGGAUUUAGAUACUGGCUUGAUAGUCCACUGUAAGCCUGGUGGGAGGCUGGGGCUGCCCACUUGUCAAGCGGGAAAACAGGCACCGGAUGUGAGUGCCCAGCCAAGGUCACCUCCAGUCUCCAGAGGACUCCUGCCGGCCUGGCGAUGAGUCAUGCUGGAGCUUGCUCCGGGGUGAAAUCACAAAGGAAGCGAGGCUUGGAUUGAUUGCAGGCGGCAGGGAAGUUUCCUGUUCUGGAGCUACCUCAGCAACACCACCUCCUCCACCUGCAGGGCCUUGCUGUCUUCAGUAACACUGGAAGGAAGGAAGAUCCUUGAUACUUUGAUGAAAAGGCUGAGGCUCUGAGAGGUCACGUGGUCAUGCACAACUUCCAGAAACAGAAGACACUGAUGAUAAAGUGAUACAUAUGAGCAGUUGCAGCGUUUUGCAAAAGGAGACUGCACAAAUUUAAGCAUUUCCAUCGGACGCUUCUGCUUCAAAUCUUGGAGGAACCGGUCUGAGGUGCAGAUCUACAUCCGGGAGCCAAUGGCAUGUAGGAGGUAGCUAAAGCCCUGACGCUGGAUACCAUCAUGCAGAGAGAAUGUGGAAUGAGAAGUAAGUCGAGGAAGUAUUGGGAUUUUUAGAUAUGGAGGAAGGGAACUCCAUGCAGGAGCUGAAACAGAAGGAGCUGGGGUGAAAGAAGAACUUGAAAUCUCAAGAGCUAGUGGGGCCGGAGUUGGAGAUGGUGCUCAUGGGUCCAAUGCAGCAGCAGCGUGGGCAGAGAAGGAUCCAAAAGAGACAAGGCACUGGGAGAUGAGUUGUGGGUACUCUGAGGAGCCUUGCUUUGUGGCAUUGUAAGGGAAGAAGCCCGAGGAUGGUGGGUUUAGUAAGGAUGAGAGGUGUUAUGGUUUAGGUGAGGUGUCCCCUAAAAGCUCACAUGUGAGACAACACAGGAAGGUUCAGAGGGGAGGUGACUGGGUUACAACCUUAACCUCAUCAGUGAAUUAAUCCCUUAUGGGAUUAACUGAGUGGAAACUGGAGACAGGUGGGGUGUGGCUAGAGGAAGAGGUUCAUUGGGGGCACGGCUAUGGCGUAUAUGUUUUGUAUCUGAAGAGUGGACUCCCUUUCUCUGCCUUUCUGAUCAUCAUAUGAGCU